AGAAAGAUAAGCUAAAUAAAGCUAUUGGGCCCAUAACCCAACUAUGAUAAAUUCUCUUUCUA
rnacentral:tRNA from 1 species